UUUGAACUGGAAAAUGGCCCACUUCCCACUGGCGAAAACUCAUGAAAUUUGGCAGGACGACCGGGCCUGGUGAAAAAUUUGAUAUUCUGAAGUCGCCAAAACAAUAAAAUGCAAAAUGGCUCCAUAGCGCCCCCUAAGGUGAAAAUUCACACUAUUCACUGUCACGGCUGUACGCUUUGUCAUAUUGACACAAAAAUUGACACACACAUGUAUCUCAAUAAGAUCUACAAAAAAGUCAGUGCGGGCGUAUCUGUCAAAUGUACGGUUAAUGGGUUAUUUUGCAUUUUUUGCAGAUCUGCACACAUUGGAAUUUCGCUAACUCCUCCGAAGGCUUUCGUUCCACCGGCACCACAUUUGCUCAGGCCAAUCUACACCCCAUGGCCAUUAAAAGUUAUUCAAAUCAUGACGCUGCACCCCACGGUUUAGGUUCUAGGGGGCGCCAAAAAUAACCCUAAAAUCCACAUAUUUAAAAGUCUUAUAACUUUUUAUUUUUGUCCUCACUGGCCUCCAAGUUUUCUAGGAUGAUGCAAUGUCCAGCCAUCAACACAUCUGUGAAGGAAUUUUUACUCCCCAAAAGAGCGCCCCCCCAUGGCAGGAGAAAAAAGUCCAUUUUUUCUUGACCCCUAAGGUGAAAAUACACAUUGUUGAGUGUCACGCCUUUACGCUUUGGCAAAAUGACACAAAAAUUGACACACACAUGUAUCUCAAUAAGAUCUACAAAAAAGUCUAUGAGCGCGUAUCUGUCAAAUGUACGGUUAAAGGGUUAUUCCGCAUUUUUUGCCGAUCCGCACACAUUGGAAUGUGGCUAACUCCUCCUAAGGCUUUCGUUCCACCGGCAACACAUUUGCUCAGGCCAAUCUACACCCCAUGGCCAUUAAAAGUUAUCAAAAUCAUGACGCUGCACCCCACGGUUUAGGUUCUAG